AUUUAUAGACAGACCAUUUCAAAGAUUUCGUCAAGCUUUUGACAAAACGACAGCAUGAAUAAAAACACAAAAAAUACUUGAGUAAUAAUUAUCAUGUGGCUAAAAUUCGUAAUAAUGUAACUUUUGAUGGCCUUCAUUUUUUAAAUACAAAAUUAUACUGUGAUAUGCCGGGGCCGGAUGUUAGAGCCAAUGAAAAUGUAUUCGGCGAGAUGUCGACAGAGCCCGCGGCGACUCUGCAUAGCGGAACUGAAACUAAACCUGACAGAAAACUUACCGUCCUCGAAACACAUGGAUAUGUACUUGGUAGAACUAUUGGGUCUGGAUCGUAUGCUACCGUCAAGGUAGCAACGAGUGAAAGGCACAACUGCCAAGUAGCAGUAAAAAUUAUUAGCAAGUUUCAAGCGCCAGGCGAUUAUCUGAAGAAAUUCCUUCCAAGAGAAAUAGAAGUCGUAAAAGGGCUGAAACAUGAAAAUUUAAUACGGUUUUUGCAAGCAAUCGAAACUACACACAGGGUCUAUAUAGUGAUGGAGUAUGCCGAAAAUGGCAGUCUCCUAGACAUAAUCCGCAAAGACCAGCACAUCGACGAGAUCCGUGGUCGUCGUUGGUUUCAACAACUCGUCGAAGCCGUUGAGUACUGCCACGAUAGAGGGGUAGUUCACAGAGACAUUAAAUGCGAGAAUCUACUAAUGGAUCACGGUCUGAACAUAAAGCUUUCUGAUUUUGGAUUCGCGAGGGGUCAUAUGAAGCCGAAAAAUGGAGUGUAUUCCUUGAGUGAAACCUUCUGCGGCAGUUAUGCCUAUGCCUCUCCCGAAAUUCUCAAAGGAGUCCCAUACAGGCCGCAGGACUCUGAUAUAUGGAGUAUGGGAGUUGUGUUGUACGCCAUUGUCUACGGACGUCUGCCAUUUGAUGAUACAAACUACACGCAAUUGUUAAAGCAAGUUCAAAACAAAGUUUCAUUCCCUCGAGAGCCAAAGGUUUCAACGGAAUGCCGCAAACUAAUCACCAGGAUUCUGGCUCCUCUGAAGGUCCGCCUGAAAAUACCUCAAAUCCUCGCCGACCCCUGGCUGAACCCCAACCAACCAUCCAAAGAUGAAGAAGUCGAUGCCCAGAAUUCCGACUUUGGUACAAAAUUGGCUAAAUAAAUCUUUGGCACAAAAACAACCUGAUAAAAUUCUACAACCUUGAGCGAUGUAAAGACAAAGAAGUCAAUAGCAAAGAAGAAAUCAAAAGUGUGAAUAUAGGAACUGUAACGUUUGAUAGAAAAUUAGAAGAAGUUAAAUAAUAAAUUACCUAAAUAUGUAAAAAGUUUAAAAACAGUUUAAGAACUCAAUUUUUUUAAUCAAUACAAAUAUACCGUUAACAAAGA